AAGGGCUGUACCCCGCAAAAUCUCUCUCUCGAUUUGCCGAUGUUAUUGCCCUAUGUGUUCAGCCUGAGCCGGAGUUCAGACCGCCCAUGUCAGAAGUAGUGCAAGCAUUGGUUCGUCUGGUCCAAAGGGCCAAAAUGAACAAGAGAGUGCUUGCUGGUGAUGUACAAGAUGCAAGUCGGAGAGCAGAUGACAGAGAUGCGCACGACUACAUGUUUUAAAGCGUAUGCUCUUGAGGUUUAUUUGCUGGUGACGAGAUUUCCUAGCUCCUAGUGGCAGGAUUUUUGAGAGCCCAACGUACUUUAUGGGGAAGGAAUUUCUUUCUUAAACUGGCAUAUGGAUAUUGUAUUACAGAUAAAAUAGCAGAAGCUUCAUUUUAGUGGAUUUCAUUAAAAGGCCCAUACGUUGUUAAAAGAUGUGGUGCUAAUAAGCCUUGAACGUCUGCCCCAGUGGAAGAAAUAUAUUUGUUUUUUUUUUUUUUUC